rnacentral:rRNA from 1 species
GUAGGUGGCAAGCGUUGUCCGGAAUUAUUGGGCGUAAAGCGCGCGCAGGUGGUUCUUUAAGUCUGAUGUGAAAGCCCCCGGCUCAACCGGGGAGGGUCAUUGGAAACUGGGGAACUUGAGUGCAGGAGAGGAAAGUGGAAUUCCACGUGUAGCGGUGAAAUGCGUAGAUAUGUGGAGGAACACCAGUGGCGAAGGCGACUUUCUGGCCUGUAACUGACACUGAGGCGCGAAAGCGUGGGGAGCAAACAGGGAUUAGAUACCCUGGUAGUCCACGCCAUAAACGAUGAGUGCUAAGUGUUGGGGGGGUUUCCGCCCCCUCAGUGCUGCAGCUAACGCAUUAAGCACUCCGCCUGGGAGUACGGUCGCAAGACUG